GCCGGUAUCUUCUAUCGGUAGGAUCACGGAUUGUGGUUCCGUCAAGGUGGGUUCAACUCCCGCUACCGGCA
rnacentral:tRNA from 1 species